AAAAAAGAUAGGUGGGAUGGUGCAGUAUUCUAGUCAGCCCUCCGUUCCUGAAGGCGGGCCUAAAAAUCCGCCAAAGGGCACAUCGAUGAAGUUCCUUGUGUCGGCUUGGGGCGCCCAGCCCUGGGUCGGUGCUGGGAGUUAAGGGGGUAGGGCGAUCCACAAAGGCAUGUGGGCGUUGACCCUGCCCCCGCGGAGGCCCAUCUUUGUGGUGUGCUGUGAUCGUGCAGAACAUUACGAAAUGGGGUAUGAACCUGUGUCAUAGGGAUUGGGCAUCUCUAUGCACAGCGUAGCCUGCCUUGAGUGGUACUGAGGGGAUUAUGGAUUGAGUGUAAAAAACAGCUGGCCACUGUUUUAACGCUCGCGACACCAUAUGAAAUCAGUACUGCAAAAGAGGCUAGGGAACGGCUAAAGGCUGUUGAGGAAAUCUCCUAGACUGUUCCGUCAUGGACAUUUAAAGGGGAUUGUAGUGCGGACUAAGUGGCAGUCCAGUCUAGCCUUCGGUGACGGGGCUAAGGUGGAUUUAAAGGGGAACCGCCGCUGUGGCAACACACGGUAUCCGCCUGGGAAAACCUACUGGACCUUAAGCCGCAAUAUUUACCCUUUAAAUGACCAUCCCGUCUCUUUGGUUU
rnacentral:sRNA from 1 species